UUCCAGACUAUAGUAUUAUUGGUGGGGUCCAUUAUUUUAGGGUUUACUUAUUGCAGAUUUCUAUUUUACUUUUUCAUUCAUUUCCGAUCUACAAAUCUCCCAACCCUAUACAUCAAUUAUUUAUAUUCUUUCUCGCGAAAUCAAAGUCUCGGGAGACCGGCUAAAUUGUGUUUCAAGGUGCGGAAUUCAGUAUGCAGGCAUCGAAGGCAAGGCUGUUCAAGGAGUACCAUGAGGUGCAGCGAGAAAAGACUGCCGAUCCUGAUAUUCAACUAGUCUGUGAUGAAUCUAACAUUUUUAAAUGGACGGCUUUUGUCAAGGGUCCCUCUGAGACUCCUUACGAGGGAGGGGUGUUCCAGCUUUCCUUUUCUGUUUCUGAUCAGUAUCCUCUGCAGCCUCCUCAAGUCCGGUUUUUGACAAAAAUAUUUCAUCCAAAUGUUCACUUUAAGACUGGGGAGAUUUGUCUGGAUAUCUUGAAAAAUGCUUGGAGCCCAGCUUGGACCCUUCAAUCUGUCUGUAGGGCUAUAAUUGCUUUGAUGGCCCAUCCAGAACCUGACAGCCCACUGAAUUGUGAUUCAGAGCACUUUGGUAUUUGCUGGGAAAUUCAAGGAUUUAUUGAGAUAUUGAUGGAAAACUAAAGAACUUCAAAUCCUUAAGGUGUCAGCUCAGUCCAAAACUAUGCCCUGAUGUUUUUUUUUCCAUCUAAUACGUUAACAAAGGCAAUCUUCUGCGUUCAGGCGAUGUUAGAGGCUACCAAUCCAUGGCAAGAAUGUACACAAGACUUGCAGCAAUGCCAAAGAAAGGCUGAAUGAUUUUGUAUAACUUGUUUAACAAGUUAACAAUAGAUACAGCAGUUCUUUGGUAUAAUAUUCAUUUGUUUGAAAUGUAUACAUUUUAAGACACGAUAUUGAUUGUGUUGAUGAUGUGUGUUAAAGUAGUAGUAGUAGUGACUUGUACAGAUUGUAUCCGUUACUCCGUAUAUCUGGAUUCAUGCUGGAAUUGAGCUCAAAUAUAUUCCAAUAAUACCUUAAAUACUUUAGUUUUAAA